rnacentral:rRNA from 1 species
CGAGCUUGAUCCUGGCUCAGAACGAAUGCUGGCAACAGGCCUAACACAUGCAAGUCGAGCGGACAACCCCAACAGGUUGUUAGCGGCGAACGGGUGAGUAACACGUGAGAAUCUGCCUUGUUCAACGGAAUAGCUUAAGGAAACUUGAGGUAAUACCGUAUGACUCCUGCAUCAGGUAAAUGAAUACUUCGGAACAAGAUGAGCUUACGCUAGAUUAGCUAGUUGGUGGGGUAAAGGCCUAUCCAAGGCAAUGAUCUAUAGCUGGUCUGGGAGGACGAACAGCCACAUUGGGACUGAGACAAGGCCCAACCCUCUUAGGAGGGCAGCAGUGGGGAAUAUUGGACAAUGGGCGAAAGCCUGAUCCAGCCAUGUUGCAUGAGUGACCGAAGGUCUAUGGACUGUAAAACUCUUAAGCUAAUAAUUAAUAAAUGAUGAUGUUAGUGAAUAGCUCCGGCCAACUUCGUGCCAGCAGCCGCGGUAAUACGAGGGGAGCGAGUGUUGUUCGGUUUUAUUGGGCGUAAAGGGCUAUUAGGUGGCUCAAUAAGUCGAUAGUUAAAUCUUGGAACUUAAUUCCAUCUAUGUUAUCGAUACUAUUGAACUAGAGUAUGUAAAAGGGACGAACGGAAUUCCAAGUGUAGAGGUGAAAUUCGUUGAUACUUGGAGGAACACCAGAGGCGAAAGCGGUUCGUCAUAACAAAACUGACACUGAAAUAGCGAAAGCAUGGGGAGCAAACAGGAUUAGAUACCCUGGUAGUCCAUGCCCUAAACGAUGAAUGCUAAUAGUUGGGAAUACUUCAUCGAUUAAUCGAAUUGGAUAACAACUCGAACAAUCGAAUAUAAGUUUAUUUCUGAUCAUAAAGCUAACGCGUUAAGCAUUCCGCCUGGGGAUUACGACCGCAAGGUUAAAACUCAAAGGAAUUGACGGAGACCCGCACAAGCGGUGGAGCAUGUGGUUUAAUUCGAAGCUACACGAAGAACCUUACCAGCCCUUGACAUACCAUGGCUAAACAUGUUGGAAACAACAUGCCAUCUUACAAACAGUAAGAAUACCAGGAACAGGUGCUGCAUGGCUGUUGUCAGCUCGUGUCGUGAGAUGUAUGGUUAAGUCCUAAAACGAGCAUAACCCUUUCCCAUAGUUACCGAACAUCAAAACCUAUACAUUAGGAUUGAUCUAUCUCUAUGGGUACUGCUAACGUAAGUUAGAGGAAGGUGAGGAUCACAACAAGUCAUCAUGGCCCUUAUGGGCUGGGCUACACACGUGCUACAAUGGUGGUUACAAAGAGUCGCAACGUUGUAAAGCAGAGCUAAUCUCAAAAGACCAUCUCAGUUCGGAUUGUACUCUGCAACUCGAGUACAUGAAGUAGGAAUCGCUAGUAAUCGUGGAUCAGCAUGCCACGGUGAAUACGUUCUCGGGUCUUGUACACACCGCCCGUCACACCAUGGAGAUUAUUCAUGCCAAAAGUUUGUAAAUGACAAGCGAAGGUAGGGGAUGGUUACCGAGGUGAAGUCGUAACAAGGUAGCCGUAGGUGAACCUGUGGCUGAAACAUAA